UAUAUAUAUAUGCAUACCAAUUUUUCUUCAAGAUACUUUUCAAUACUUAAAUUAUUUCUUAUGGCACCAGUGUGAUAGCCUUUGAUACCUUAUCAUUUAUUGUUUACUUAUUUCUGUGAGAAAUGGGUUGAAGAUUGGUUACAGCUUCUCCUACAUAGCCCUCAGAAAAACUGAAUUUACAAAUAAAUGCAACCAAUAAAAGUUGCAUUUACCAGUAAAAGAAAGGCAGGUGGACUAAGGAGGAAAAUCUGUAUAGACCAAAGGAGAUUUGGGUACAUAUUUUGGUAAUUUAAGGCAAACCUGAUAUUUUUUAGUUAUUUGGGUAAGACACUGCAUUGCCUAAUUCUGACAAUACAGAUGUGGCUUCAUAUUUUUGCUAGCAAGUGUGGGGAGAGUUGGGGGACCAAAUGUGAAUAUUGAGUCCAAUUGUUUGAAGUUCAUUUCAUUCUUUCGUCUCUUUUGCUCUUUCCUUCUUUUUUCUCUUCCUUCCUUUUUC
rnacentral:lncRNA from 1 species